rfam:Meleagris gallopavo isolate NT-WF06-2002-E0010 breed Aviagen turkey brand Nicholas breeding stock chromosome 1, whole genome shotgun sequence.
CCAAAGGCUCUUUUCAGAGCCACCUACACUUUCCCAAAAAGAGCAG